rnacentral:rRNA from 1 species
GAUGAACGCUGGCGGCGUGCCUAAUACAUGCAAGUCGAACGCACAGCGAAAGGUGCUUGCACCUUUCAAGUGAGUGGCGAACGGGUGAGUAACACGUGGACAACCUGCCUCAAGGCUGGGGAUAACAUUUGGAAACAGAUGCUAAUACCGAAUAAAACUCAGUGUCGCAUGACACAAAGUUAAAAGGCGCUUUGGCGUCACCUAGAGAUGGAUCCGCGGUGCAUUAGUUAGUUGGUGGGGUAAAGGCCGACCAAGACAAUGAUGCAUAGCCGAGUUGAGAGACUGGUCGGCCACAGUGGGACUGCGACACGGCCCGAACUCCUACGGGAGGCUGCAGUAGGUAAUCUUCCACAAUGGGCGAAAGCCUGAUGGGGCAACGCCGCGUGUGUGAUGAAGGCUUUCGGGUCGUAAAGCACUGUUGUAUGGGAAGAACAGCUAGAAUAGGGAAUGAUUUUAGUUUGACGGUACCAUACCAGAAAGGGACGGCUAAAUACGUGCCAGCAGCCGCAGUAA